rnacentral:rRNA from 1 species
CACGUAGGGCGCAAGCGUUUGUCCGGAAUUAUUGGGCGUAAAGAGCUCGUAGGCGGUCUGUUACGUCUGCUGUGAAAACCCGGGGCUUAACCCUGGGCUUGCAGUGGAUACGGGUAGACUAGAGGCAGGUAGGGGAGAAUGGAAUUCCCGGUGUAGCGGUGAAAUGCGCAGAUAUCGGGAGGAACACCGGUGGCGAAGGCGGAUCUCUGGGCCUGAUCUGACGCUGAGGCGCGAAAGCUAGGGGAGCGAACAGG